rnacentral:tRNA from 1 species
GGCGGCAUACCUCAGUUGGUAGAGGAACCUCCUUAUAAGAGGCCAGUCACGGGUUCAAGUCCCGUUGCCGCUAC